GACAGAGGGUGCAAACGUUGUUCGGAAUUACUGGGCGUAAAGCGCGUGUAGGCGGCUAAGUAAGUCGGGCGUGAAAUCCCACGGCUCAACCGUGGAAGUGCACUCGAAACUGCGUAGCUUGAGUACCGGAGAGGUUGGUGGAAUUCUCGGUGUAGAGGUGAAAUUCGUAGAUAUCGAGAGGAACACCGGUGGCGAAGGCGGCCAACUGGACGAGUACUGACGCUGAGACACGAAAGCGUGGGGAGCAAACAGG
rnacentral:rRNA from 1 species